AACAGUUCAGCCUAAAAAAAUUGCGCGUGCUGGUUUUGGAGUUAAAUCUAGAAAAUUUGGCAGAGUUUAUAAGUGAAAUGAAGCUCCUUCGCAUCCUACAGGUAUCAAGUACUAGAGAGUUCAUGUUGCCAGAGUCGGUGUGUACUCUGUAUCAGUUACAGGUGCUGCGAAUAAAAAGCGCUAGCUCGCUUCCUAAACGUCUUAAUAACUUGGUUAGCUUGAGGUAUCUAGAGGCAAAUUCUGAUAUAAUUUCGGCGAUACCUGACAUUCGCAAGUUAACUUCCUUGCAAGGCCUAGAAAAUUUUCCGGUGAGAAAGGAAAAAGGAUAUGAGCUAGAGCAACUACAGAACUUGAAUGAGCUUCGAGGAUGCUUGCGUAUUGCUAAUCUUGAGAAUGUUGAGAGCAAGGAGAGUGCCAUUGCAGCCAAUUUGAAAGAAAAGAAGCAUCUUGAUACGCUCCAGUUGGCAUGGCGCGAUGGUGAGGACAAUGUAAAUUCUAAUUUGGAUGUUGAAAUUCUCGAGGGCCUCCAAUUGCCUCCCUAUCUUACCAGCCUGAUGUUAGAUGGGUACCGAGGACAGUCAUGUCCGUCUUGGCCUGAAUAUCAAACACGCAAUAUUCAAGAACUUGCGCUGAGGAGGUGUGGAAUGCUUGAAGAGCUCCCACCUAUGGACCAGCUUUACCCUUAUUGCAGAUCACUUGAGCUUCGGCAUAUUACUAUACUUAAAGCAGUACACACCCUUCCUCCGAGGCUUCAAAACAUCGCAAUAUUUCGUGCACCAUUUCUCACCUUCGUAACAAAUGAAGACCUGCAGUUGAGCCAAGAUGACAAGAGAUCCAUAGGAGAGGUCAUGAGGAACAGGACGCAGGAAUGGUUCCGACACCAAUAUAAAGAAGACUUAGUCCACAACGAAAGAGAAAUGAGGAAUUUCAUAGCCGCAAUGAAUGGCCGAGAGCAUAACAAAAGUGUGCCUGCCGCCGAUGCGGAUAUUGCCGCUGUGUGGGGGAGAUGGUUGGCGACGCAUGAGCGAAAAACGGAAUUAAUUUACAACAGACAAAAUGAGGCCAAAUUGCUUUUGCCCUCUACCAUUACUAGGCUCCGGCUCGAGGGAUGCAACAUGACCGACCACGCAUUGUCGGUAUGCCUACAAAACCUCCCCUCCCUUACGCAGCUGUUGUUAGCAGAUCUCAAAAUGAUAACCCGUCUACCGUCUGCGGACGUCCUUGCCAACUUAAAAUCACUCCAAACUUUACGUCUGAGCGACUGCUGGGCUCUCACUUCGCUGGGUGGUAUAAGAUCCCUCCGCCGUCUUGGAAAUCUCCUUCUAAUCGGAUGCCCCUGCCUGGACAUUGAAACUGCUGUGCUGCCGUCCUCCUUGCAGUCUAUCCUUUUUGAGUCUUGUGCAGACGCAGAUGAAAUCCUAGCCAAUGCAAAUUUGCCACGUCUAUCUCGUCUUACGAUUACUCAAUGUCAUACGCAAACGGCAUCGUUACAGUUUCGCAACCUCCAAUCUCUUCACUCCUUGAGGAUCGAGCAUUGUUCUGGCCUCUCAUCCUUGGUGGAUUUGCAGGAACUGCACUCUCUAGAAUUUCUCAUUCUGCAGAACUGCCCAAAGCUACAAUCAGUGGCGAAUUUGCCCGGGUCACUCAAGAGUUUACUAAUACACGAAUGCCCGCUUUUAGAGGAGGGAUCCGUAAACACCGACCCGAUUUCGGGAGUGCGUUUGCUUGGCGGCAUCCCUGUAGAUGACAACUACGGAACAUGCUCUGUAAUGUAGAAAAGAGUGCAAAAGUUGAUCACAGUCUCUUGAUGAAUCAGCGAAAAUCUUGAAGUACUUCAAACUUCUCUACACCUUGCCUGUGUGUUCUGAGAUUGGAUUUAAAAUGAUCAACUGACCUAGUUUUGGAUUGAAGUACUUUCUAAUCACUCGUCUAUCUACCGACUAGUAUGUGGAUGCAUUCGCUUCUGUACUCGUCAUGCACUUCUAUGUAAUUGAUGAUGGGCUUUUUUUUUUCGCUUCUGAAGAUUGGGGGAAAUAAAAUGUUUAUUAAUGGGUGUUGCUGUUAUGUGGAUUGUUAGUUGUUGUCAAAGAGUUGGUGUGGCCAUCCAAAAGAAAAAAAGCAAAAAAAAAAAAAAAACAAAAUGAAAAAAAAAAAAAUUGUUAAUGGGUAUGCUAUUCUAUAUAUAUUGCUAUUGUGUGGAUUGUUAACUGGUGUUGUGAGAAAGGGAUGUGCUUAGUGUGCCCUCAUUGUGGUCAUUAAAAUGUAUUAUGUUUUCAUCUUUUUUCUGUCUUAAUGUAUUAUUAUUAUGUUUUCUACAGUGUAAACUAAAGAUCAUGUAAACCUGAAAUUUAUGUGAUGUUUGUA